rnacentral:rRNA from 1 species
AUACGUAGGGGGCAAGCGUUAUCCGGAUUUACUGGGUGUAAAGGGAGCGUAGACGGAAGGCCAAGUCUGAUGUGAAAGCCCGCGGCUCAACUGCGGGACUGCAUUGGAAACUGGUCAUCUGGAGUGCAGGAGGGGUAAGCGGAAUUCCUAGUGUAGCGGUGAAAUGCGUAGAUAUUAGGAGGAACACCGGUGGCGAAGGCGGCUUACUGGGCUUGAACGGACGUUGAGGCUCGAAAGCGUGGGGGCAAAAAGGAUUAGAUACCCUUGUAGUCCACGCCGUAAACGAUGAAUACUAGGUGUCGGGUUUCUAUAGAGAUUCGGUGACGCAGCAAACGCCAUAAGUAUUCCACCUGGGGAGUACGUUCGCAAGAAUGAAACUCAAAGGAAUUGACGGGG